GAUGAACGCUGGCGGCGUGCCUAAUACAUGCAAGUCGAGCGAACGGACGAGAAGCUUGCUUCUCUGAUGUUAGCGGCGGACGGGUGCGUAACACGUGGACAACCUACCUAUCAGACUGGGAUAACUUCGGGAAACCGUAGCUAAUACCGGAUAAUAUUUUGAACCGCAUGGUUCAAAAGUGAAAGACGGUCUUGCGGUCACUUAUAGAUGGAUCCGCGCUGCAUUAGCUAGUUGGUAAGGUAACGGCUUACCAAGGCAACGAUGCAUAGCCGACCUGACAGGGACAUCGGCCACACGGGAAGUGAGACACGGUACAGACCCCUACGGGAGGCAGCAGUAGGGAAUCUUCCGGAAUGGGCGAGUGCCUGAUGGUGCAACACCGCGUGAAUGAUGAAGGUCUUAUGAUCGGAAAACUAUGAAAUUAGUGAAGAUCAUAAGUGUAAGUACCUGUGCUCAUCUUGACGGUACCGAAUGAGUAAGCCACGGCUAACUACGUG
rnacentral:rRNA from 1 species